GGAUCAUUCAUAAUAAGUGUUUUAUGGCACUUUUUUAAAUCCAUAUCCACCUUGUGUGCAAUGUCAGGGUUGGUUUCUCUCUUUUGAGAGAUCAACCCCAAACAUCAACUCUAUCUUAACUCUUUGUCUGAAAAAUAUUAUGAAUAAAACAAUUCAAAAUACAACUUUCAACAACGGAUCUCUUGGCUCUCGCAUCGAUGAAGAACGCAGCGAAAUGCGAUACGUAAUGUGAAUUGCAGAAUUCAGUGAAUCAUCGAAUCUUUGAACGCAUAUUGCGCUCUUUGGUAUUCCGAAGAGCAUGCUUGUUUGAGUAUCAGUAAACACCUCAAAGCCUUUUUUCUUUUUUGAAGAAAGGCUUUGGACUUGAGCAAUCCCAACACCAAUCUUUUAAAGAGAGGGGGCGGGUUGCUUGAAAUGCAGGUGCAGCUGGACAUUCUCCUGAGCUAAAAGCAUAUUCAUUUAGUCCCGUCAAACGGAUUAUUACUUUUGCUGCAGCUAAUAUAAAGGGAGUUUGACCAUUUUGGCUGACUGAUGCAGGAUUUUCACAAGAGUCUUCAAAACCUCUUGUUAAACUCGAUCUCAAAUCAAGUAAGACUACCCGCUGA
rnacentral:rRNA from 1 species